AGAGUUUGAUCCUGGCUCAGAACGUACGCUGGCGGCACGCCUAACACAUGCAAGUCGAACGAAGUAGCAAUACUUAGUGGCAGACGGGUGAGUAACAUGUAGGUAUCUACCCUUUGGCCUGGAAUAACACGAGGAAACUUGUGCUAAUACCGGAUAAGUCUUUACGGAGAAAGCUUUAUGCACCAUUGGAUGAGCCUGCACUUGAUUAGUUUGUUGGUGGGGUAAUGGCCUACCAAGACUGUGAUCAAUAGCUGAUUUGAGAGGAUGAUCAGCCACAUUGGGACUGAGACACGGCCCAAACUCCUACGGGAGGCAGCAGUGGGGAAUCUUGCACAAUGGAGGAAACUCUGAUGCAGCGAUGCCGCGUGAGUGAAGAAGGCCCUUGGGUUGUAAAGCUCUUUCGUCGGGGAAGAAAAUGACUGUACCCGAAUAAGAAGGUCCGGCUAACUUCGUGCCAGCAGCCGCGGUAAUACGAAGGGACCUAGCGUAGUUCGGAAUUACUGGGCUUAAAGAGUUCGUAGGUGGUUGAAAAAGUUGGUGGUGAAAUCCCAGAGCUUAACUCUGGAACUGCCAUCAAAACUUUUCAGCUAGAGUAUGAUAGAGGAAAGCAGAAUUUCUAGUGUAGAGGUGAAAUUGUAGAUAUUAGAAAGAAUACCAAUUGCGAAGGCAGCUUUCUGGAUCAUUACUGACACUGAGGAACGAAAGCAUGGGUAGCGAAGAGGAUUAGAUACCCUCGUAGUCCAUGCCGUAAACGAUGUGUGUUAGACGUUGGAAAUUUAUUUUCAGUGUCGCAGCGAAAGCGAUAAACACACCGCCUGGGGAGUACGACCGCAAGGUUAAAACUCAAAUGAAUUGACGGGGACCCGCACAAGUAGUGGAGCAUGUGGUUUAAUUCGAAGAUACGCGCAGAACCUUACCAACACUUGACAUGUUCGUCGCGACUUUAAGAGAUUAAAGUUUUCGGUUCGGCCGGACGAAACACAGGUGCUGCAUGGCUGUCGUCAGCUCGUGUCGUGAGAUGUUGGGUUAAGUCCCGCAACGAGCGCAACCCUCACUUUUAGUUGCCAUCAUUUAGUUGGGCACUCUGAAAGAACUGCCAGUGAUAAGCUGGAGGAAGGUGGGGAUGACGUCAAGUCCUCAUGGCCCUUACGUGUUGGGCUACACACGUGCUACAAUGGUAUCUACAACAGGAAGCAAAACUGCGAAGUUAAGCAAAUCCUUAAAAGAUACCUCAGUUCGGAUUGCACUCUGCAACUCGAGUGCAUGAAGCUGGAAUUACUAGUAAUCGUGGAUCAGCGUGCCACGGUGAAUGCGUUCCCGGGUCUUGUACACACCGCCCGUCACACCAUGGAAGUUGGUUACACCUUAAGGCAAAGCUUAUACCUUUGACUACGGUACGAUCAGCAACUGGGGUGAAGUCGUAACAAGGUAACC
rnacentral:rRNA from 1 species